AUUGAACGCUGGCGGCAGGCUUAACACAUGCAAGUCGAGCGGGGUGAUGGUGCUUGCACUAUCACUUAGCGGCGGACGGGUGAGUAAUGCUCAGGAAUCUGCCUAUUAGUGGGGGACAACAUCUCGAAAGGGAUGCUAAUACCGCAUACGUCCUAAGGGAGAAAGCAGGGGAUCACUUGUGACGUUGCGCUUAUAGAUGGACCUAAGUCGGAUUAGCUAGUUGGUGGGGUAAAGGCCUACCAAGGCGACGAUCUGUAGCGGGUCUGAGAGGAUGAUCAGCCACACUGGGACUGAGAAACGGCCCAGACUCCUACGGGAGGCAGCAGUGGGGAAUAUUGGACAAUGGGGGGAACCCUGAUCCAGCCAUGCCGCGUGUGUGAAGAAGGCCUUAUGGUUGUAAAGCACUUUAAGCGAGGAGGAGGCUCUUUUGGUUAAUACCCAAGAUGAGUGGACGUUACUCGCAGAAUAAGCACCGGCUAACUCUGUGCCAGCCGCCGCCGUAA
rnacentral:rRNA from 1 species